rnacentral:rRNA from 1 species
AUGAAGACUUUUGUGACUGAGCGGCGGACGGGUGAGUAACGCGUGGGUAACCUGCCUCAUACAGGGGGAUAACAGUUAGAAAUGGCUGCUAAUACCGCAUAAGACCACACUGCUGCAUGGCAGAGGGGUCAAAGGAGCAAUCCGCUUUAAGAUGGGCUCGCGUCCCAUUAGGUAGUUGGUGAGGUAACGGCUCACCAAGCCGACGAUGGGUAGCCGACCUGAGAGGGUGAUCGGCCACAUUGGGACUGAGACACGGCCCAAACUCC